UGGGAGAUAUUGCGCAAUGGGCGAAAGCCUGACGCAGCGACGCCGCGUGAGGGAUGAAGGUCUUCGGAUCGUAAACCUCUGUCAGGAGGGAAGAAGUGGUUGUAUGCGAAUAGUGUAUGACUUUGACGGUACCUCCAAAGGAAGCACCGGCUAACUCCGUGCCAGCAGCCGCGGUAAUACGGAGGGUGCGAGCGUUAAUCGGAAUCACUGGGCGUAAAGCGCACGUAGGCGGCUUUUCAAGUCAGGGGUGAAAUCCCACGGCUCAACCGUGGAACUGCCUUUGAAACUGGUAGACUUGAGUGUGUGAGAGGAUAGUGGAAUUUCCAGGUGUAGGAGUGAAAUCCGUAGAUAUCUGGAGGAACAUCAGUGGCGAAGGCGACUAUCUGGCACAUAACUGACACUGAGGAGCGAAGCGUGGGUAGCAAACAGGAUUAGAUACCC
rnacentral:rRNA from 1 species